rnacentral:rRNA from 1 species
CCCGCACAAGCGUGAGCAUGUGGUUUAAUUCGAUGCUACACGAAGAACCUUUACCAGGGUUUGACAUACAAGUAGUAGGAGGGAAACUGGACCGACCCUUUCGGGGAGCUUGUACAGGUGCUGCAUGGCUGUCGCCAGCUCGUGUCGUGAGAUGUUGGGUUAAGUCCCGCAACGAGCGCAACCCUCGACCUUAGUUGCCAGCAUUCAGUUGGGCACUCUAAGGUGACUGCCGGCUAAAAGUCGGAGGAAGGUGGGAUGACGUCAAAUCAUCAUGCCCCUUAUGUCCUGGGCUACACACGUACUACAAUGGCAACAACAGAGGGCAGCCAGACCGCGAGGUUGAGCGAAUCCCAAAAUGUUGUCUCAGUUCAGAUUGCAGGCUGCAACUCGCCUGCAUGAAGUCGGAAUUGCUAGUAAUGGCAGGUCAGCAUACUGCCGUGAAUACGUUCCCGGGCCUU